rnacentral:rRNA from 1 species
GGACAGGUGGUGCAUGGUUGUCGUCAGCUCGUGUCGUGAGAUGUUGGGUUAAGUCCCGCAACGAGCGCAACCCCUACGUUUAGUUGCUAACGCGUGAAGGCGAGCACUCUAGACGAACUGCCGUUGACAAAACGGAGGAAGGUGGGGAUGACGUCAAAUCAUCAUGCCCCUUAUGUUCUGGGCUACACACGUGCUACAAUGGCCGGUACAGACGGACGCAAAGCCGCGAGGUGGAGCAAAUCCUAAAAAGCCGGUCUCAGUUCGGAUUGCAGGCUGCAAUUCGCCUGCAUGAAGUCGGAAUCGCUAGUAAUCGCAGGUCAGCAUACUGCGGUGAAUACGUUCCCGGGCCUU